rnacentral:pre_miRNA from 1 species
AAUGACACGUUUUCUCCCGGAUCGCCAGAAAUAUGUUUCGCCACCGGGAACUUCGUGUCAGCCA